UCUGUGAAUGAAAGUUUAUUUGGGAUUGA
rnacentral:piRNA from 1 species